rnacentral:rRNA from 1 species
CCGACGGUGAGAGACGAAAGCUAGGGGCACGAACCGGAUUAGAUACCCGGGUAGUCCUAGCCGUAAACGAUACUCGCUAGGUGUCGGCCACGGUGCGACCGUUGUCGGUGCCGUAGGGAAGCCGUGAAGCGAGCCACCUGGGAAGUACGGCCGCAAGGCUGAAACUUAAAGGAAUUGGCGGGGAGCACCACAACGGGUGGAGCUUGCGGUUUAAUUGGAUUCAACGCCGGAAAUCUUACCGGGACCGACAGCAACAUGAAGGCCAGGCUGAAGACUUUGCCGGAUUAGCUGAGAGGUGGUGCAUGGCCGUCGUCAGUUCGUACUGUGAAGCAUCCUGUUAAGUCA